rnacentral:rRNA from 1 species
UACGUAGGUGGCAAGCGUUGUCCGGAAUCAUUGGGCGUAAAGAGCGCGUAGGCGGCCCGAUAAGUCCGCUGUGAAAGUCAAGGGCUCAACCCUGGGAUGCCGGUGGAUACUGUCGGGCUCGAGUCCGGAAGAGGCGAGUGGAAUUCCUGGUGUAGCGGUGAAAUGCGCAGAUAUCAGGAGGAACACCAAUGGCGAAGGCAGCUCGCUGGGACGUGACUGACGCUGAGACGCGAAAGCGUGGGGAGCAAACAGG